UACGGAGGGUGCGAGCGUUGUUCGGAAUCACUGGGCGUAAAGCGCGUGUAGGUGGCAUUCUAAGUCUGGUGUGAAAGCCCGGGGCUCACCCCCGGAAGUGCAUCGGAUACUGGGGCGCUAGAGUACCGGAGAGGAGGGUGGAAUUCCUGGUGUAGCGGUGAAAUGCGUAGAUAUCAGGAGGAACACCGGUGGCGAAGGCGGCCCUCUGGACGGAUACUGACGCUGAGACGCGAAAGCGUGGGGAGCAAACAGG
rnacentral:rRNA from 1 species